CAGGAGGAAAUACUGGAGCACACUCCACAAGCAUUAGGGGGCCAAGCAAACGCAUCAUCAUCAUCAUCAGUUCGAACUAGAGGUCCGAAUUUGGGACAUCCUAUCCCAUCAAACCCGUCUGAUCGACAAUUGAUUAGAUUGAAAGGAACUGUUUUUUUAGAUUCCACAGUUACUAGAUCAAUCACUAAUGACAUUAAGAUGCGCUAUACUGCUCCAUGGAAAACUUGGUCAGAAAUACUUUUAAAGAUAAAAGACGAGCUCUUCGGACUUUUUCGGAGUCGAUAUGCAUGGGAUGAGAGUGAAGAAGGUAUGGUUCGAAUUGCUUGGGAAAAGGUAGGUAAAGAAAGACUGCGAGACAUUCUUAAUAGAGUUAGGAGCGAAUUGUUGCGCAAGCACAAGAAGACAGAUGUUGCUUA